rnacentral:rRNA from 1 species
CAGAGGUAGCUUGCUACUUGCUGACGACCGGCGCACGGGUGCGUAACGCGUAUACAAUCUGCCUUAUACAGAGGGAUAGCCUUUAGAAAUGAAGAUUAAUACCUCAUGGUCUAUUAAUAUAGCAUUAUAUAAAUAGUAAAGCUUCGGCGGUAUAAGAUGAGUAUGCGUCCUAUUAGUUAGUUGGUAAGGUAACGGCUUACCAAGACAACGAUAGGUAGGGGCCCUGAGAGGGGGAUCCCCCACACUGGUACUGAGACACGGACCAGACUCCUACGGGAGGCAGCAGUGAGGAAUAUUGGACAAUGGAGGUAACUCUGAUCCAGCCAUGCCGCGUGCAGGAAGACGGCCCUAUGGGUUGUAAACUGCUUUUAUAUAGGAAGAAACCUUUUCACGUGUGAGAAGCUGACGGUACUAUAAGAAUAAGGACCGGCUAACUCCGUGCCAGCAGCCGCG